AGGACGAACGCUGGCGGCGUGCUUAACACAUGCAAGUCGAGCGAGGCUCUCCUUCGGGAGAUGUCCUAGCGGCGAACGGGUGAGUAACACGUGGGCAACCUGCCUCUAGCUCUGGGAUAACUCCGGGAAACCGGGGCUAAUACCGGAUACGACCUCGAGCGGCAUCUAUCGAGGUGGAAAGUUUUUCGGCUAGAGAUGGGCCCGCGGCCUAUCAGCUUGUUGGUGAGGUAACGGCCACCAAAGGCGACGACGGGUA
rnacentral:rRNA from 1 species